UUCCAUAUGGUCUAGCAGUCAGGAUUCCUGAUUUUCACCCAGGUGACCCGGGUUCAACUCCCGGUAUGGGAA
rfam:Danio rerio chromosome 4, GRCz11 reference primary assembly.